CCUUGGACCUGGGGUUUGGGCUUUGCCCACCCCCCCCUUUGGGGGCGCCCGGGCCCUUCACCCGGCCUUCCCCACCCUUGUUCCCCCCCCCCCCCCGCCCUCCCUUCACCCGGUGCCUAAUCCUAUGCUUAAAUCCAUCCCCUGAACGACGCGUCCUUCCCUGGCAGAGCCUCGCUGAAGAAUGGGAGGAAAAUCUGCCCGGACCGACCGCCCCCCUGUAUAGGAAAAUAAUCAGGAAGCUUUUGAGGAGCCUCCCAGUUGCCUGAUGCUGUACCUUUGCGCGGAGGCUUUUCUGUUUUCGUUUUCUCAUCAGUCACCCAACUGUGGGGAAAUCGUCUGAUGUUUUUAUUAUCCUUCAAGCGCUAAAUAAAUAAAAUAAAUCGACUUGCGGUACAAACGGUUUCUUAUUAGAGCAAAGAAAUAGCGUCCGCUUGCCAUAAUUUCAUUUAAAAACAAUUCCAGAAUUUUAAGCAAAAAUACAUUUGAAGGAAAGUCUAAUUUAACAAAGACUGGCUUCACUUGGUGUUUUGCGUUGACUGAUACAUAUCUGCGCAUUGAUAUUAAUCACACUUAGACGCUACUGGCUUUUUAAAAUUAAUCAGACUCUGCUUUUAUCCCCUUUAGAUUUACACUCUAUUCUAGGAUUAGGAGAAUUAAUGAAAAUGAAACUAGGAUUCUCUACUACUUAACAGAAAUAUAAGUAUGCUCUCCAAAGAAUCAUAUUAAAACAUUUUACUCUUUAUUGGUAACAUUGAGAUUUCACCAAGGUGAAAUGUUAAAAAUGGUUCCUAUGCCCACACUAUUGCCUCUAGUGAAUCCUGCCUUUGGCAAAUCCGCAGAACUGGUUCUUACUACAUUUCAUUCACACACCAGGCACGUCGCUCUAAGCCUGCAAGUGUCUUGAAGAGACUUUUCCUUGAUACCCUCACAUCGAGUCGCACUUUUUUGCAGUGGACCGCCAGUCCAUGAAUCCCUUAACAUCGCAGAAAUCCAGACUGUAUGUUAAACAGCUGUGGAAACCAGGAGAGGCGCACGAUGGUGCUUUCCUUCUUCCUUCAGGAAGACACUACUAUGUUUUGGGGAGAAAGGAGGGCGCUGCCAGAUGGGCGUGUGGCUACCUGCUGCUUCUGCAACGGAGCGCCAGGAACACCAACACCGUGGCAGAAACAACACGGGUCCUACUUGUGUUCUUUGGAUAUGUCGGCAGACCAUGGCCUCAGAACUUUCUAAAGAUUUUGGCUCAGACUCAUUUCUCUGGCUGCCCAAGGUAUGAUACUCUUCCUCAACUCUUUCACAGUAAUUCAAAUUCUGACUCAUCUGCGUUCACCUAUGUCCCCAGAAAGGUUUUACUCAAAUACCGAGUGGUCAAAACAGGUAAAAGGAAAUCGAGGUUGUUGCCGGUUCUUCAAGGAUGAUUUCCUAGUGUCCCAACCUCAGAACACAUUGGUUACAUUCAACAAUGGCCUGAAACCACUUACUUAUGCACUACUUCAACAAACAUUUGUUGAAUGCUUUGUAUGAAUCACACCCGCACUGGAGAUGGGGACACAGAAAGAAAUGAGAUAUGGUAGCUUCUCUUCCAAGUGGCACUAUGUAAACCAAUGGUUCCCAACAAUUCGAUCUGUAGCCAAGGGCCAGGGCCACCCUUGUUAUGAACUCUCUGAUGGAAGUGGCUCCUGAGUGACAAGCAUCUGAUACCCUGGGCCAUGCCUAUCUGCCUGAGUCAUCAGUCUGCCGGGCAGGCAGAUUUAUUUAUUAUUUUAUUAUUAUUUAUUUAUUUAUUUAUUUAUUUAUUUAUUUAUUUAGGGAAACGUUCCCAAGGUUGGGCGUGAAGAAAUGGGAAAACUGAAAUAGAGUGUAGACAUCUGGGAUUCAGCCCUCCUGGGGAUCCCAUGAGAAGCCAUGUAGAAGAUCUGCCUAAAACAUGAAAAGGAGGAAAUACUUAUCAUUGCUUCUCUUCCUUACUAGCAAGAGGUUUUCCAUGGCAGCAAUGGAGAAACUUUGGCCGAGAAAAUCACGUGGCACAGCGGAGGUGAGGGGGUGUAAGUUCAUACCUGCUUGAAGUCAGUGGCUGCAGCCACAACCAGGGUAGAACAGUGAGCCAAGAGAUGGUGUGAACAUCUUGGAUUUUACGAAUUGUCAAUUUCGAAAGAUUUGUAAUAAUUACAGGGGGCAAAUGGAAUUCAACCACCAAAGCAUCCUUUUGAAGGCCUCUUCCAUUUCUUUAAGAGUCGUUAUUUGUAUUGGUUUAAAGAAAGUGCAUAAAAACCUGGUAUUUAACCCUUGCAGAAGUAAUUGGCUUGGAGAGGCACAUGUUCAAACCAGAGAGCAGGCUUGUUUAUUUGCAGUAGGCUGCGGGAGUCCUGCACUUAUAAGCAUUCCUGCAUUUUGGUUGAGAAAGAUUUCACUGGUUAAGUGGCAUAUUAAAGAAAAAUAAAUAAAUAACCAACAGGAAACCUUGCCUUUUU
rnacentral:lncRNA from 12 species